UACGGGGGGGGCAAGCGUUGUUCGGAAUUACUGGGCGUAAAGCGUGCGUAGGCGGUUCGUUAAGUCUGUUGUGAAAGCCCCGGGCUCAACCUGGGAAUGGCAAUGGAUACUGGCGAGCUAGAGUGUGUCAGAGGAUGGUGGAAUUCCCGGUGUAGCGGUGAAAUGCGUAGAGAUCGGGAGGAACAUCAGUGGCGAAGGCGGCCAUCUGGGACAACACUGACGCUGAGGCACGAAAGCGUGGGGAGCAAACAGG
rnacentral:rRNA from 1 species